AAAUGUACUGUACACAUGAAUAGUGCCGUAUACAUGAAUAGUGAUGUAUGCAUAAAUAUUUACCAUUUUGGGUAAACUAUCACUAUUCAAAAAGGGAACCUGCAGUUCCUUAAACUCAUGGAUGAGCGAUUAAAUGAGAUGCCAGAAGUUCCUCAAAAUAUGGACAAUUAUGUAAUGGCUUGAAGUCCAGAAAUAUGUACAGAAAAUUGUAAAAAAGUCCAUAC
rnacentral:lncRNA from 1 species